GUGCCAUAUAAAUCUAAUGUGUCUUCUGAAUGACUUUAUUCAGUUCUGAAAAAAUAUAGUCAUAACAGUAUAUCUCAUCAUAAUAUUUAUGCUACCUGAGUGUUUGAUUUUUUUAAAGUACUCUAAAACAUUUACUGUUUAUUUUUCAUUUAAAAUAGCUCUAUGAUUCAUGACUCCAAAGAGAACAGUCUUUACAACUAUACACCUCAUAACAGGGACAGCUCUUGGGGAACAACCAAACCUGAAGCAAAUUAUGGGAACAAGUAUUCUUCAAGUAUGCACAUGAAGUCACUCUUUAAUUUUUCCACACCAGGAGUUCUGAAAUCAAGCUAUAUUCAAAGAGAAAGGCAACCUACUGGAUAUUCAAGUUCUGAAGAGCUGGAAUUUCCUCACAGAAUAGGAUGUCCNNNNNNNNNNNNNNNNNNNNNNAUAUAUGUGUAUAUAUAUAUAUCAUCUGAUUAUUUUAAAACAUUCUUGUAAUACUUUAAAAAUACUAUGAAUACAAUUUAUCUAUGCUCUAAAUACAUUUCUGUCUUCAUUAAUGCCAUUAAUUUUUCUCUUUAUACCUUGAACUAUUUCUACCUAUACUCUCAUGACCACAGAGCUGAACUUAUGUUUCCAAUAUCCAAUUUCUUAACUUACCAAGAAUAGCAGAUACCUGUUAUCUCACAAAUUCAGCAUAAUACUUGCUUACUUAUUCUUGGCAUAUGUCUUUGUAAAGUGCUCAGUAAAAUGUAUAUAAAAUUGGUUAUAAAUUACUUGCAGAGAAUAUAGUGAGUUCUUUACAGUUAUGCAAUAAAUUAAAUAAUUGCUCAAAAAUAUCAGUAUGU
rnacentral:lncRNA from 1 species